rnacentral:sRNA from 1 species
UCUGCUUGGGAUAUAUAUAUGUGAAGAAAGAAUACUUCUUAUAUCAUUCAUCCUCUGACCCAUCCUCCCAUUAACUUCGUCAAGUAUACGUACAACAUAACAUCAUGGAUACUAGUAGUAGGUAACAAAACUCAAACACAUGAAUCAGGAAUGACGAUAACACCAAGGAAGCACAAUAGCAAAGGAGAACUUGAAUUUGUCAUCGGCACAUGCUUCCAACCACCGGAGUCGACUGUGUCGUUGAAACAUGAUCGUAUCGCUUAAAAAGAAAUUGCAUUAAAGAGAGGUAUUGACGAAAAAUUCACCGAAUGAAGAAAAUUCAUGAGAUGUUAUAUGGAAAGGCGGUUAGGACGAUUUGUCCGUCGCGAAAGGAACUGCGCUGUGUAUAAAUACGGCACAGUGAUUUGAACCACUAGGAAAUCAGCGUGGUUGGGGGUGGGGUUGACGGUACAGGGUGGACCAUCUUUUCCAUCUCCUUUUCGAUGUUAGCGAACAGCGCCUGCAAUUCGGCAUCUGCAUAUAUCUUAAUUGACUCUACCUCCCGGCGGUUAACAAAUGGUGGAGUCCCCGCCCUUGGAGGACUCGGGGGGCUUCGGAAGGGUGUCAGGUCAUCUGCUAGAGCCUCGCCUUCACACUGUGGGGUCCAUAGCGUCAUUGUGCCGGCCAUGUGCUCAAGCAACUUCUGUCGAAUACGAAUCCUUCUAUUUUCAGCAAGGUCCAGCUUGUAGGCCCAUUCGUCAAUGGACUGGUCAAGUUCGGAGAGGGCUUCUUCUUGCUUCAGGAUGCCUUCCCUUGAGAAUUUGGAGACCCGGGGUGACUUGAGGUACGAGAUCAUUCGUGUGUGCAGCCCUCGACGUCCGGAUCGCAAAGACUUGUAGGUUUUGCGGAGAUAAUCGCACCUUUUAUCAAGCGCUCGCAAUUCCUUAUCCAACCUCAGUAACUUGAAAUAAAUACAGGGACAAAGCUCCAAUAUUGCAAAAUCAAAGAAAACUUACCCUCGAAAGUGAUCUGACUUCUGCGUACUUGAGUAUCUCAAAACGUUUGGCCUGUUCCCAUGCUUGGAUUUUCACCCUCUCGAUUUCAUCCUGUGGAAGCAAUUUCGAGGCAGUGUGCGCUGGGAUCCCGGCCGGUAGGAUCAGGAAUGGAUGGUCUGAAGGUUCCUUAUUGGGCUUAGGUACCUCGGCACUCUGUACUGGAGAUUUAUUCCCUGGGGGUGUCUCUGUGAUUGAAUUUUGAGAGAAGUCUGGCUUGUUACCUAGCGGCAUUGAACCCUUCCUUUGCAGCAUGGGCGGUGGUGUGAUUGCGCUGCGAUACGUUUGGCAUACUGCGACACUUCUGUUCCUCGAAUGGCUGCGAGUGCCUCUACCUUCCAGCGGGGACGGCGAACCCGAUGGGGCUGCGGAUAGUCCCAAGUCAAAUGAUCCCGACUGUGUUUCAGCGUUCCUGUCGUGUAAGGGAAAUAUGAAGCUCUGUGCCGAACACUUCUCAGCUGAGGUACUGCUCGUUGGAGCAGCCAACGUUGUAACAGAGGAGUUUGAGCUGGCACUGGAAAAACUGAUCGUUGGCUGGGUAGUUGGGAUUCGGAGACCAAGUCUAGGCGAUUUUGGUGGUACUUCGGGUGGCUGGUCAUUUUCCAGUUUGUUUUGUUCCAGACCUGCAAUGGGCAAAUUACUUUUGGAAGAUCCAACCACGUUUGCAGCAAAUUGAUAUGUUUCCAGCGUAUCAGGAAGCAGUAAUGAGGAUGCCCUUUUUAUUGACUUAUGUCUAUCGUCUUCCAUGGGUGAAGGACCAAGCACUUUUCCAAAUGACUCCCUCGACAAACUUGGUGGCUCGCCAACUGGAUCAAGGGCAGAAUCUUGACACGUUGGUUGGCUCGACGAUACUCCAGGCGCGCUAUUUGACCGCUCAUGAGUAGGAAAUUUACCUGGUAUUGUUGCUAUAGGAAAGUUAGCGGUAACGACUGCAAUUAGGGAUAUUAGAGGCACACUUACGCGAAUCUAUGUUCUUUUCCUGGACGGUCGUCAUAGGCCCUAAUUCUGGAACACUAAUUUUACGACGCCGACAAAGCGUUCCACGCUCCUUAAACUGGUUCUUCAGAUCGCUCAGAUCUGGCGUGCAUCGUCCAGAUGCCAUCCCUGGCUUCUUCCAGAUGGGCCAGAGCUGGUACCUUUGGCGUUCAAUGGGUGUUUGCCUGUCUGAUACUCCAACAUUCAAGCUACAGGGAGUCUUCUCGCUGGGCUGCUAGUUGGGUCAGUGGCGGUUAAGAUUCCUCUGGAAUAUAGUGAGCAGUUCUUGAAUAACUCACAAUCGGGGAGCAGCAGUUUCUAGCGAUGCCAACAUGUGCGACAAGUUCCUGGACCUUCUGUUCAACCGCAAGCAUCAUUAUUUCUCUCAGAUGUUAUGAAAGCAAAUUGGCAUUGGUCUCGGCUCUUGCGAUUGGGAUAGAGGCCUGGUUUCUCUCCUUCUGGUAGGCUCGUUUUCGGGACCUAUAUAUGGCUAUGGCAACGAAUUCAGGGAAUAAUAUAUGUCCCUUCGUUACGGGAUAGAGCUGCUCUUAUCGGCAUCUCAAACGCCAUCCUUAAGCCCCAGCACCGAGUAAACCUGCCUGAGUUGUGGGUAUUCUCUAACUUCAUGAUCGGGACAAAAUGACUCUAGUCCACCAUACUAGUAAGGAUCCGGGGUUGAGCCGUGAAUAUGCUGCAACCCAUGAAACGACAUCCAUGUCUGUAAGAUGGAUAAACUUUAUUCGAGUCCAAAUUGUGGGGUCGAAGUACCUGGCCAUGUACUCUCUGUGUACUUGGGUUGAGGUACCAUGAGGCUAAGUUAGAAGAAACCAGGAAGGGCACCUCCCUGCAUCCUUUGAUUCUCGGCUCCCCUCAAUCAUAUCCAAAUCGUCAAUCGACUGUAGCUCAAUUCAGCCAAAAUAUAUUUGUUAUUAUGUUAAAGUAGGCAAAAGUGUCAGCGUUGAUAAGUUUCUUACGCCAACGUCAAACUAAACAAGUAUUGACCCACCAACCUAAGACGACGACCAACUUUGUGGCUCAUUCCCCAAUGGCCCGUCUCCCUGAGGCUAGAAGACCCCCCAAACCCUUUAUCCAUUCUUUGGCUGUUACUAGUUCUACUACCCUCAGGUGAAAGUCAACCCAAAUUCUCUGACACCGCAAAACAGUCAAUCCAUCCAUAUGGAUUUGGAUUCCAGAAAUUCGGUGAAUCAAUCAGAGGUACCAGCAUAAAACUGGUUGCGACUGAAGUUUGCUUCCUGGAAACUCAUUUGAAAUUCUAGUAAGCCUGGCAAGCUAGUUGGUAGUUAGUUCGAUCACAUUCCUCUCAGCCUCACACUCACGCCUGUGGGCGUUGCGGCAAAAUCACGGCCGUAUAUGAUGACACAGGAAUGCUGAAACGGGAAAAACUGAUUGGACAAGUGAAAUAUCUGCUGGAGAUUGUCGGAGAUAGUCAAUUGCUAGGAAGGAAGACCGUUGGAUGAUAAAGCACAACAACAAUGCAAGAUGCGCUAACACUCAAAUCUGAUGGUUAUAUGGCCCAAUGUGAAUGUUAUGGGGCGCAUGGGAGUAAAUGGCUCAGGAUGCUUUACAACAGCGUGUCUUGCUCGAACGCGAAGGUCCACCAGCUCACGGUCUCUUGAAGCAAAUGCCGGGGCCUCUAGGACACAUCUCGACUUAGAACUGCUGGUGGUGUCACAGGUUCGAGUCCGUUUGGUCAAACCAUCCUGGCACUUUGCAGGGGUUUGUUCUAAGUGCUCUUUUGCACGGGAAUGCAGUAGCGGUUACUGGUGGAUGCCGCUAUUUUCGUUAGUGUGAGUUUUCAUUCCAGACAUCUUGAGCUGGGGUUCAAAACCCACGUUUUCACAGGGAUCCAUCGGGGCUUUCGGUGGCUUGGUUCCUUUCCUUUCCCCAGCUAUCGCCGGGAGAACGAGCGUCAGGUUUCUCCACCAAGCCCCAUCUCACAAAGCUCUCCGCUUAAGUUUAAUUCCGCUGGGACUUCCGUUGAGAGGGAAUAAUCGCCGCACGAGUGAUCUGCGUCGAGGUUCCCGAGGCUCCCGUCGGUCCUCAUUUGAGUGGAUUUCCAUAGCGACUCAGUUGAAGCCACCUUAACUUACACAUCUCGAACUCGAGCCUACAGAGAAAAUGCGCCAUACAUCAAAGCUUUCGAAUUCGAGGUAAAUUCACCGAAAAUAGUGGCCUGGAACCCAGAAAAGAACCGAGGUUAUGGAAUGUUUAGCCUUGGUUUGAGUUGGCUUACCCGGGCCACAUCGUUUACCAGAUGUAAUGUAUUUUUUUAUCAGGCCACGAAACUAAAUCUUCCGCUAUUUCGAUGGCUAACACUGCCUCUCUCGUUCAAAGGGCAAUGGCUUACCCCUCGCCUGGAUUGAUUUGAACGAUAUCAACUUGAGGAUUAGGUGAAACUUUGAAUUCAUCCCUCAGUAAGAGUUGGAGUGCAUCGUGUGUAUCCUAAUGGCGCCGUUGCCAGGAAGGAAAAUCCCCAGGCGAUGUCUACUUCAGAAAGAGAGCUACCGAUGGCCACUGGGGUGCUGUGCCUCUCAAGUUGUCCAUACCUCACUGGAGUCAGAGUCACUACUCUUCGAGACAGCUUAACUACAUGAUCACGAUUGCUGAUCGACACACGCUUAGCGGCCUCGUGUACUGUCUCCACUAUGCAUGUACACAACAUUGAGAUAUAAAGCUUAUGUGCAGGAUGUACUUGAGUGAGAUGUGAUCGAUCCUGUAAAAGCCAUGGCAAUAGCUUUAUGAAGAUGAAAACGGGAUGGUUAUCUUCAGUCCUGACUCCUCCUACUCGACUCUUUGCCAGGAGAGCUUGUUUAUCUAGCUAGUAUUUGUCAAGGGCGAGCGGCACUAGCUGGACGUGUGAGAGCGACAAGCUGGUAGUAGCAUUUUGCCCUACAGAGGAUCACAAGGUUUUACUUAUCCGAUUUGCCUCUAAUCAAGGCCCCUUGUUUCAGGCACCCUAAUCCGGCAUUCUUGUUCAAUAGGGAAAUCGACUAUUUUGGCACAAUUUGCAAUCAAGAAUGAAAGUACGACGCUCAGAUGGCGGGGGAAAAAAAAGAGGGGAAACGAUGGCGAAAUGCUUGUACGGGAUAGCUUUGCAUUAAAAAGCCACAAUCAGCGCAAGUGUCGGACGGUUUUUUAAGGGCGUCUCCUCCCACCAAUGAUUGCUAAGUCUAUGGUCCAUCCAAUUUCUCGAGUUCGAAGUGGGAAAAGCUGAACGAACAAAAGUCAACGAGCGGGAACAUUCUACUCUACCUAACGCUUAACCUUGCAUUCAACUUAUUCUUCCUGCCACUGGUUGAUAAGUCUACUGCCUGCAAGUCAUCAGCUUCUCUGAAGCAAAAGAAAAAAAGGCAAUGGCUGAGUAUAGAGCCAGCACUCAAUUAUGAGUGGACCAUCGCGAUUCAAGAACGUAUCGGCAACGACAUUGGAACAAUAAUAUCAAUGGUUGGUGGGUUGCACAUAAAUAUUCGUUGCACUGGAUGGUAAUCUACGCCAUCUGGACCCUCUUGACUUGGCCGGCGACCCUAAACGCUAAUUGCGUGAUGGAAAGAUGAGUUGGUGUUUGAAACCCUGGCAGGGGCCCCGGGAUGAGGAGGAGCUAGGCUCACUGUGGUGUAUCGUCCAAGUCCUGCUAGGGUCAAGGCUGGAGGACUCUCAGAAGGACGCCCCAGCCUCUGAGCAGUGAAUAAAGUUGGCAUCGUCCUUCAUCGAGCUGACUCUCAAUCUCUCCUUCAAACACGAUGUUAGAAAAUUUCGGGCACACGAACCAGAGAAAACUCUAAAUCGCUCUGCAUUGUUUAGGGAAUUGCUUAGGAAUGUGCGCCACAUCCUGAGAGGCUAUUAUUUUAGAGGUCAUUGAUUUUCAAAGAUCAAGUCGAUAUAUAUCUUGUCGCAACAGGCUUACAACGAACUGACUAUUUUGAGCACUUAUUCAGCAAAAAUUUUUGCAGCCAAUCUGACAUCUUUUUCCCAGCUGUUCUGAUACUUGUUCAAAGGGAACUCGCCUCACUUCGCGCCCGUUCCCAGACGCUGUUCAAAAGAGAAAUAGAUGUGAUCCUUUUUCGGCACUCCCACCCAUCACUGUUCAGGUGAACACUGUGGUGGCUUUUCUUGAUUAGUCAAUCAGAGGCUACCCUUCUGGCAAGAUCUCGCAAUUCCAUUGAGGUGAAGGACAUCUACUGCGUAGUGCAAGAUCAUCACCCUAGCUUGGGACUCAAGUUUAUGAAGGCUGGCAUACUGCCGUAUUUCAUCGGAGUUAUCGGAGAAUUUCACCCAGGAAAUCAUGAGCUAAAAAUGCAACAAACUGCAUUUUGCGUAACGUCGAUGGCCAAUUGUUGUUGCAAACCUUAAUACCAGCUAUGGGAGCUGUUGAUCGGAGCAGCCUCAUUCCAGAUACAUACAUAGUAGUAUAUCAAUGUCCCUUUACUUCCAGCAUCGACCUGUUCCGGUAGAUAAUAGCGAGACGAUUUCUUGCUAGCAAACUCCUCGUCCAUGUUUUUUCUUGCAUCGGAAGAGUUAUUUCCAUGCAAUUCAUUUGACCAGUUUCUCAAGUCGGAACUAUUUCACGGCUUCUAUCGUAAUUACGCUGUCGAAUACCUUUUCUCCCGGAUUUGUAAGUCGCCAGCUUGAAGGAAUGGACAGAACCACGCAUGAGAGCUGGGUAGUUGUGGCUCAUCUGGCUAUUCUGCUGCGCCGAAUUGUCGUUGAUCCAAGGUAACAUGUAUGUGGCUUGUUUCAGUAUGCCAAUAACUGGGCUUUUGAGCGGGGGUCAACAUCACCGGAAAUAUAAAAUAGCGUUGAAGAGCAUUGGCCAGCUACACCAGUGCGAAUUGUAUUGUAAAUGUCCGCAGCAAUGUGGAGGCUCAUUCUCACCCGAUGACAGAUGUAGAGGAGAAAUAGCAAAAGCCUCUCAUCGAAUUCACACCUAUCCUUUGUUGCCCUUUUCCUGAAAAUGUACAGAUCUGUACCGAUUGCUGGUAAGUUGCAGAACACUCAGCGGCAGGUACUUGUUGCCCUCAUGUUUUGCACUAGGCUAUGGAGCUCGCCUGCUAUGUAGGGUUGGGAUUGUCAACCUCAGUCACUCCCUGCAACCUUCCAAAAUACAGGG